UACGUAGGUGGCAAGCGUUGUCCGGAUUUACUGGGCGUAAAGGGCGCGUAGGUGGAUAUUUAAGUGGGAUGUGAAAUACCCGGGCUUAACCUGGGUGCUGCAUUCCAAACUGGAUAUCUAGAGUGCAGGAGAGGAAAGGAGAAUUCCUAGUGUAGCGGUGAAAUGCGUAGAGAUUAGGAAGAAUACCAGUGGCGAAGGCGCCUUUCUGGACUGUAACUGACACUGAGGCUCGAAAGCGUGGGGAGCAAACAGG
rnacentral:rRNA from 1 species